GAUGGUGUAGCUCAGCGGUUAGAGCGGUUGACUGUUAAUCAAUGGGUCGAUGGUUCAAAUCCAUCCACCAUCGCCA
rnacentral:tRNA from 4 species